CUUCCUUAUCCACUCUAUCUGGCUGGAGGCUUAUCUUGAAAUGACUGAGGAACGGCACAAUAGCCCUCCAGCUGACCGCUUAAAAGGCUCCCUCCCAUUGUGGCCAUGAGGAGUCAAGUCCUUCCCCGUGUGGAUGCUGCAUGCUCACUGUCAAUGGGCCGGCCCCAUCAACUAAGUAGCAAAGAUCAUUUACAUGAGAGGAGAGCCCGCUUUGUUUGCAGCGGCCAACUGUUUCAAUUACACGUAUGGGAUUAUCACGGCCAGGGAAAACCAAUAGAGGAGGCAAACAAAGACAUGCAGAGUGGAAUACUAAAGAUGUGCGAACCCACGCGUUGAGAAAUACAGAGCACAUGUGGAGGUGGAAAAAGUUUGGAGACUCACCCGACGCGCCGAGCUCCAGGAAGCCAAGGAGCAGCACCACCAUCCAGCCUGGAUGACAGCCGCCGCUCGCCGCGCUCCGACUUGGGUACAUUCCUUCGACUCUGCCUUUGCACCUUGGACAGCUGCAAACAUCCACCAGUCACAAGUUGGAGAUCGGGAAGAGGAGAAAUGUUCAAGUUAACUUCCUCAGCGUGCAACCUCCAAGUGACUGACUGGUCUGCCCAAUUGAUCGCGAUCCUGCCCACUAACCUCACGCUCAUUGCACACAAGGCUGCAGAUGCUGUGGUGGCGUCCAAGACACGUGCUGCCACCUAGUGUCCGUCGAUGGAAGCGUCGCAGAUCGCUUUGUAUUGCAAAUACAGUGUGUCUCAAAUGUGAAUGAAUGCAUGAAUUUUAAGGGGAGCCCUCUACAUUUUUGUUGGCCUGGACUGGACUGGCCUGGCCGAGGCUAUGAGCCGAAAUUGUUGCUGGUCCUUGUCAAGUCCAAGAGGAGGCCUAGAGCAGUCUACUUGGUGUAUCUAAUUAAAAUAGAACUUCACUUCC